CUGUUGCCCAAUAUCUCCCACACUCUUUCCCUCUCUCCCCACCUUCACUUGCUUGUCUUCGUUCGGUUUCCCACACGGCGGGUGCUUUUAUGACUUGAUAUUUAUCUGCUGUUCUGUUCAUGUAUUCAAAGCCUCUCCGCUUCAACUGAAACUAUUCCAUUGCUCUCUUUCAUCCCCAAUUGUGAUGUUUUGAUUUGUAAUCAUGGAAAAGUUGAAGAAGCUGAACUCUCAGAUAAGGUGAAAUGGUGUCCUUUGGGACUUUGGCAAGCGGCUUCAGUGCUGACAGACAAAGGCAGCCACUCACAAUGGAACAUCUGUAGGACACAACCUCUAAGGAGAUUAGAGCUCAAUGGCAGUGUAUGGGGAUGCUUCAGGAAUUUACCCCGACUCCUCGGAGUCAGCCUUAUCUCUCAGAUGAAUAAUUGUCCGAUGGAAGAGAAUUCCGAUGGAUUUUGUAGACGAUGAAACUCUACAGUGAACUUAAAGAUUGGCUGAACCCAAAAAGAGAUACAAAGAAACAGCGGCUCGACGGUCUCUUUCGUUUCUGCCGCAUGCCAGAAAACAGAAAUAGAAAGCAUAGACCUGCAUGUUUUUUUUCUGCGAUCGCUGUCCCUCGAAGAACAAAAGCUGUAUACAUUUAUAUGAAGGCAGACUCUUGUAGGGCCUGGUGGAAUUCUACAGGACUGAAAUUAACCAGAACGGGCUACCCGGUGGAUAAGUUCAGAGAAAGAUGACAGAAGCUUAACAAGGUAGAAAAAUGAUGACAUGAGUUAUAGCCUGUGACAUAUAUAAAUAAUGGAAGCCAGUGAUACACCAUUCUUAUCACAGCUGGAUUCCAAAUUCAGUAUUGAUAUGUUGUAGUAAACUGUGAUAGCAGAAUUUAUUUGACCACUGACCGAACAAUCACAUUUAUAGUAUUGUAUAGUAUUCCAAUUCCACAAUAUAAAAAUGGGACCAUCUUUUAUUUGGGUCAAAAUCACUCACCCGUGCCAUAGAAAGGCAUUUGCCAGGGCAUUGGACUAUGGACUACGUUUGACAAUACUCGCAAGCUACAGUAAUUACUUCUAAACACAAGCACAACGACUUCCACUUGCUUGCCAAAAACAACAUUAUUUAUAUUAAUUCCUUUCACAGGUAUGUGAUACUUAACCCUUAUUCAAAACAAGGUCAAAUGCCACUAACUGUUUCAAACUAUUAGUUACCUGAUAUACAGUAUAGGCCUACAUGGUAAAAAGAUCCAUAUCACCUGAGUGACAUGCUGCAGCACACUCACUUUAAAACUUCUUCAAGCUAGGGUCUAUUUUUCUCCACUUCCUCCACUUUAAACUGCCUGUUACUCAGGCCCAGAAGCCAGGAUGUGCAUAUAAUUGGUACCAUUGGAUAGAAAACACUUUGAAGUUUGCAGAAAUUUUACAAUAAUGUAUGCGACUACAACACAAUUACAAUGGUAGGAGAAAAUCCAAAGAAAAACCAACCACAACUUUUUUGGAGAGAGCCCAUGCACUUCCAAUGGAAAGCUAUGGGUCAUAUGUAAUUCCAGCUCCCAGAUUACAAUUCCUAUGGCUUCCAUUAGAUGUCAACAGUCUUCGUUCAAGGUUUCAGGAUUGUUUCUUCCCAAACGAGGAAGAAUUUUGAGUUUUGGUACUGGGAGUCAGAGUUGGAAAUCAGUCUGUGCGCGUGCGACGAAGGGGACGCGCACUUGUUUAUUUUGCUUUUCUAUUGAACGUACUUCUUUCCAUAUGAAGUAUUAUAGUUUAAUUAUGAUUAAAGGAUUAAAUAUAAACAUAUUUUGACUUGUUUUAACAAAGUUUAGCGGUAGCUUUUUGGAUUCCUUUCUCUGCAUGAUGAACAAGUGGAUUACUCAAAUCGAUGGAGCCAACUAAACUGACUUUUUGGGAUAUAAAGAAGGAUUUUAUCUAACAAAACAACCAUGCAUGUUGUAGCUGGGACCCUUUGGAUUGCAAAUCAGCGGAAGAUUUUCAAAAACUUAUUCUGGCAAUGACUCCCUCUGAAGAAACGUUGGUUUGAAAACCCUUUCUACUGUCUGCACUGAAGUCAAAGUGUGAAGAUCUAUCACUUUCACUCGCUAGAAGCAGAAGGUUUUUUUUGGCUCCUCAAAAUGGACCUUCGUCCAAGUUCCAAUGACUUGAGUUGUCCUUUAAAUAUUGAGGACGUAGAAAGGGGAUCUGGAGUGUGUCUCUCCUGUAGGUGAUUUAUACCUUUCAAACGUUGAAUGCAUCUGGAAGUGAUCAGGUCUGCUGGAGAAGUAAUAUUCAGACAAACAGAAGCCACCUUUGACUGGGCAGGAAUGUUAUCAGUGCCUGCUCUUCCCUGGGCCAAGCAGAAUUCCACAGUGGGAAUGAUCAGGACAGCCUAAUGCUUCUCAAACAGCUGCUUGCUGCAUCUACCCCCAACAGUUAAGCGCCCAUGCAUGGGAGUGUGUGUGGUAUCCUUUGUUGAUUCUUUCACCAGAGUGGCUGGUGUAGCAUUAGGGACAGCUCUCCUCUCGACAAGCAGCCAAGGCUUACGUGAUUAAGAUAGAUAGACUGGCUGGGACACUUAAUCUUCUGUCCAAUGAAAAAUGUUAACUGCAUCCGGAUGUUCCUGCACGUCCAUAAUUAGGCGGAAUUAUCGCUGUGUGCUUCAGAGCUGCCUCGUGAAGCGUCUCUUCUAAUUCUUCUUGUGUUGGCGUCAACUGGUUACUGUAACUUCUCCUGUCUAUCAACUUUAUCGUUGACAAGAUUAUUGAAUGUUGUUCUUUCCGAAUAAUAAAGACAUGCUGGGUGCAUGUUUUUUUCCCCCUUCCCCCCCCCCCCCCCCCCCUUCAUUUUCUCGCUUCAGAUGAAAAAUG